CACCAGCUUUACAGAGAAUACUGCAAUCCAGAUAGAUUAUGCAAAUUUUUCAAGGUUAUCCAGUAGGUCAGGAGUAGACUUAGAACCAAAGCACUAGCUCUACUUAGUAGGUCCAUGGGCUGUGGAGUCAGCCAGUCCAGGAUUUGACUUCUGAUUUUGACAAAAUGGCCUACAAUUACUUCAUUUCUUCAUUCACAAAAUAGGGAUAAAUGCCUUACAAUUUAGGGCACUGUGCAGAUUGAUUUAAUGAGGUGGAUCAGUAAAUGCCCAGUACAUUGUCUAGAACACCCAGCAAGCCUGACUUCCUUUUAUCUUCAAGGCACUUAGCCAGAUAAUGCUGAGAAACAAAUGUUCCCUCCGCUUUUUGUUAACAUCCCAUGGUUACUUCUUUGUCAGGAAUGACAGUGAGGACUUCAGUGAGAAAUGCAGAACUAUGAUGCUUUGUCAUUCUAGUUCAGCAGGUAGAUUGCAUGCAGGCCACUGGUGAUGCUUCUUCCUCCGUUUGCUGCAAGAUUAAAG